GUCUACGGCCAUACCACCCUGAACGCGCCCGAUCGCGUCUGAUCUCGGAAGUUAAGCAGGGUCAGGCCUGGUUAGUACUUGGAUGGGAGAAUGAGAGGACAUCUUAAAUU
rnacentral:rRNA from 1 species